GAAAAAAAGAAAAAASAAAAVACASAAUUCGAUAAAAAAGGAUGAAUUGUGUUUUUUUUGUUUUUCUUC
rnacentral:misc_RNA from 1 species